rnacentral:rRNA from 1 species
UGGGGGAAUAUUGCACAAUGGGGGGAAACCCUGAUGCAGCAACGCCGCGUGAAGGAAGACGGUCUUCGGAUUGUAAACUUUUGUUCUUGGUGAAGAAAAUGACGGUAGCCAAGGAGGAAGCCACGGCUAACUACGUGCCAGCAGCCGCGGUAAUACGUAGGUGGCGAGCGUUGUCCGGAAUUACUGGGUGUAAAGGGAGUGUAGGCGGGAAGGCAAGUCAGAAGUGAAAAUUAUGGGCUUAACCCAUAACCUGCUUUUGAAACUGUUUUCUUGAGUGAGGCAGAGGCAAGCGGAAUUCCUAGUGUAGCGGUGAAAUGCGUAGAUAUUAGGAGGAACACCAGUGGCGAAGGCGGCUUGCUGGGCCUUUACUGACGCUGAGGCUCGAAAGCGUGGGGAGCAAACAAGAUUAGAUACCCUGGUAGU